GUGCCAGCAGCCGCGGUAAUACGUAGGGGGCGAGCGUUGUCCGAAGUUACUGGGCGUAAAGCGCGCGUAGGCGGACUUUUAAGUUGGGGGUGAAAACUCAGGGCUCAACCCUGAGCGUGCCUUCAAAACUGGGAGUCUUGAGGUAUGGAGAGGUAAGUGGAAUUCCUGGUGUAGCGGUGAAAUGCGUAGAUAUCAGGAGGAACACCCGUGGCGAAGGCGGCUUACUGGUCAUAUCCUGACGCUGAGGUGCGAAAGCCAGGGGAGCGAACGGGAUUAGAUACCCCGGUAGUCCUGGCCGUAAACGAUGGAUACUAGGUGUUAGUGGUAUCGACCCCACUAGUGCCGCAGCUAACGCAAUAAGUAUCCCGCCUGGGGAGUACGGCCGCAAGGUUGAA
rnacentral:rRNA from 1 species